AUGAGCCACCGGAUGAUGAUGAGUCCGGUGAAGGUGGAGGGCCGCCGCUGCCCCGACCCCGACCCGGCGGCGGCCGCAGGCGGAGGGGCGCCGAGGCCGAUGGACGGGCUGGGCGACGCCGGGCCCACGCCGUUCCUCGCCAAGACCUACGACAUGGUCGACGACCCCGCCACCGACGCCGUCGUCUCCUGGACCGCCACCAGCAACAGCUUCGUCGUCUGGGACCCGCACCUCUUCGCCACCCUGCUGCUGCCGAGGUACUUCAAGCACAGCAACUUCUCCAGCUUCGUCCGGCAGCUCAACACCUAUGGCUUCAGAAAGGUGGAUCCUGACAGGUGGGAAUUUGCAAAUGAGGGAUUCUUGCGAGGGCAGAGGCACCUCCUCAGAAAUAUUAAGCGCCGGAAACCUACACAUGGGUCUCAGAAUCAGCAAUCUCUUGGCUCUUACCUUGAGGUGGGGAACUUUGGACAUGACGUGGAGAUAGAUCAUUUGAAAAGGGACAAGCAGCUCUUGAUGGCUGAAGUGGUGAAGCUCAGACAGGAGCAACAGAACACAAGGUCAGAUCUGCAAGCCAUGGAAAAGAGGCUGCAAGGAACCGAGCAGAAGCAACAGCAGAUGAUGUCAUUCUUGGCGCGAGUCAUGCAGAAUCCCAUGUUCAUACGCCAGCUGAUCUCCCAGAGUGAGAUGAGGAAGGAGCUUGAAGAUGCCAUCUCAAAUAAAAGACGGCGCCGCAUCGACCAAGGACCUGAAGCUGUCGAUGGCAUGGGCACUGGCUCUACCCUGGAACAAGGGUCACAGGUAAUGUUUGAGAAGCAGGAGCCAGUGGACUCGCUCGUGAACGGUGUCAUAUCCGAUCUUGAAAGCUCGUCCGUCGACACAAAGGGAGCUGAGGUGCAGCAGAGUGUCGCUUCCAGCCGUUCGGAGCAACUGAGAGGCAGGCCCAGUGGAGAGCUAAAUGAUGAUUUCUGGGAGGACCUGCUGCAUGAAGGGGGGCUCGGCGAGGAGGCCAGCAACCUUGUGGUUCCAGAUGACAUGAACUUGUUGGCUCAGAAGAUGGACUAG
rnacentral:rRNA from 1 species